ensembl:ncRNA
UGGCAAGAUGUCGGCAUAGCUGA